rnacentral:rRNA from 1 species
UUCGGGAGGACGCUCACCACUUUGUGGUUCAUGACUGGGGUGAAGUCGUAACAAGGUAGCGCUAGGGGAACCUGGCGCUGGAUCACCUCCUUAUACGA